UUUGCCUUGGUCAUGACCCUUCUACUUGGCAUGGAUGAAGUCAUAAAACAAAAUGGAAUCACAUUUGCUUCUACUAUCAUACUGCUUUUUUACCUGCAAUGCCUGGUGGAGAAAGGGAGGUACAGUAAACAAAGAAGAAAAAAGGAAGGUGGAGUUUCCAGUCCAUGAUCUAUGAAAGAGCAAGACACCCUUACUCCCAUGGGCACCCAGCUUUGGGCCCCAUUCUCUGAGAAAUCGGCUACCUCUGUCCCUUUCUUAAGUAAAACUUGCUUUUUAUACUUA